UUUCACCAUUAUGCCACCUCAAAUAUGCCUGAUCUCAUCUGAUUUUGAAAGCUAAGUAAGUAUUGGUGUGGUUAGUACUUGGAUGGUAGACCAUCAAGGAUUGUGUAGGGAAUGGUAGCUC
rnacentral:rRNA from 1 species